AGUCGAAGAGGCUAAUUCCGGGCCUCUUAUAAAAAUGAGAAAGAAAAGACUCAUUUCCUCUAGAUCAGAGAGAUGGCUUCUGGAUUCAUCUUUCCCUGCAAUCCAGCUUCUCCUCCUGGGGCCCUCAUACUGCAGACUGGGAUCAUCAUCCAGGCUUUUGCACUGGGCCAGGAAUUUGGGAAUCAUCCUGGAUCCGUCUGCCCCUGUCAACCUUUCUCUGUCAACAGAUAUUUAUUAGGCAUCUUCAACAGCCAGGCCCUGUUCAUGGUGCUGAAGAACAGCAUGUAUAAAACAACCCUGCCCUCACAGAGCGAUCACCAGUGACCUGUGGUGUGGAGUCUCCUUUUACCUCUGUCUCCUCCUUCCCACUGUCACCAUCCUUGGUCCUCCUCUGUCACCUGGAAUACUGCACUUGGUAACCAGCAUGAUCUUCUAACGCUAGUUUUACCCUUGUCAGCACUUUGCCGAAAACCUCAAAUAAAGACUUU
rnacentral:lncRNA from 1 species